rnacentral:rRNA from 1 species
UACGGGGGGGGGCAAGCGUUGUUCGGAAUUACUGGGCGUAAAGGGCUCGUAGGCGGCCAACUAAGUCAGACGUGAAAUCCCUCGGCUUAACCGGGGAACUGCGUCUGAUACUGGAUGGCUUGAGUUUGGGAGAGGGAUGCAGAAUUCCAGGUGUAGCGGUGAAAUGCGUAGAUAUCUGGAGGAAUACCGGUGGCGAAGGCGGCAUCCUGGACCGGCAUUGACGCUGAGGAGCGAAAGCUAGGGGAGCAAACGGG